UAAAAUUUACAAUAACUAAUUAUUGUUAAUUAUAUUUUGAUAAACUAAAUAUCCUAAUCCCACGUAAUGAUGUGAAUUGUGAUAAGUCUCAGGUCCAGACGUGCCCGCCAUCUGCUGCCGGACAACUAGUCGACGACUCUAUUCCGUCGCGCACCACAAUUGCCUGCCCGGUGACAAAGCGGAACUACUAGCAGAAGUGAGAAUUCGACUAGCGCCGCCGUUGUUAUGAAUGAGAAGGAUCUGAAUACGUUUAAAUGUGUCACCUCAUAUGGGAUCGUGAAUUCUUCGUGGAAGUAUUUCUCAGGAGAAGAAGUUGCAGUUGCCAGCCUUUCCAACUUUAUUCAUUGGAGGAAACCAUGAUGCAUCCAAUUACAUUGGGGAGCUGUUUUCAGAUUGCAAGUGAAUAAUGGAAUUCCUAUGAUCAAGAGUUGGUGUGAUGACCCCCAUCAGACUCUGCACUUACUUCAGAACUUCCAUUUCUAGUGACGCUGGCUGAUGCUGAUGAUGUCUGUCCUAUCAUUGCUAAGAAAUUCAGUAACAAGGGACACGAGUCCCUUGUCUCUUCCUAGUAGUUCCUCUAACUGUCCCUCAUUUCUUACUUCAUGUUAGACAAUUUAUCCUUCAUUACUUGCUCAUUAUUAUCCCUCAUUGAGCCUUGUAUAAUUGUUUUUGCAUUAAGAGUUAGGUCCCAAGGUCGAUUUCCAAUUAAGUCAGCUUUUGCUGCUCAUUUUUUUCUCUAUACCCUUUUGACAACCUUCUUCAGUCUAUUCAUUUGUCCCUUCAGAUUGUUGCAAGAGGUUCUAAAUGCACAUAAUAUAUCUACUUGAGCAUAGUUUAUCGAGUACUGUCAAUUUGUGCAGUAGCAUAAGCUUUCAACUUAAUGUAAAAUUGGCACCAUAGAAAAUAUUAUAUGAAUUAGUAUAUUAAUGAAUCUAAUGAGCUACACUUGGCACGAUAGAAGAUAUUAUAUGAAUUAAUAUAUUACUGAAUCUAAUCAGUUACACUUAAACUAAAGUAAAAUGAGAAGUCUUAUAAUUUUAUUAAAGAGCUUCCAAAAAUCAUCUCUUGCGCAGAUUGAAACAAAUGUAGAAACUAUUUUGGGUUAUAUAUUAAGAUAAAGGUUCAUUGAAGUUGAAGAUGAAAUAGCAUGCAAAGGACUGCAUUAGUACAUGUUAAUUUCUCCUAACAGUAUGUAUCAGUAUCAGUUGGUAUAUAUAAUUUCGUUGAGGAAAACUGCUAAACUUAUCUAAAAGCAUAAAUAAAACUACUGCCCGUAUCGUCUGUUGGGCAUGGAUUCUACUAGUGCUAGAUUAAACACCUUCUUUUGCCGGGAAACUGUCUUGAGUUAUUCAUUAAAGAAAGAAGGUGAUUAGUUUAUGUUAGAAGCUGUUAUCGUUAUGAGGUUAUCGUUAUAACACAAGGAGAGUAAUAAGAAAUAACAUGGCUGAUUAUCAGCUAUAGCCUUGAGACAAUUGUUCAAUUAUUUACCGUGUUAAGUGCAAGUAAAACUUUAUUUCUAGAGUUCCUCAAUAAUGGCUUAGAUUUCCCUUUUGUGGUCCAAGGAACAUGCUGAAAACCUCAACAUGAAAAUACCACUUAAACUACAAUGGUCACAAUUUGUUCUAAUCUUUGAUUCCUAUUCUUUUAUUUUAGCUAAACUGUAGUUCACUUUCUUACAUUGUUGAUCUUUUCCGAGCUGAUGCAUUUGCAGACUCUUUAUUGUGGUGGAGAUAUUCCCACAGACAGUGCAGAUGAUAUUGAGGAACUGAAAGAGGUUGAUCUGCAGAAACUUAGAAUGAGUUAAUGUAAAUCUCAUCUUUCGGUAAUGCUUUUUGCAAUUUCUAUUUUUAAUUAACAUUCAUGAUUUGUUCCAAUGUAACAAAUUAAAAUUUAUAUGGAAAGUUGAUGCUAUAAAUGUGCUGUUAUUAUGACAGAUGAAGACUGCAGUUUUUAUGGGUUGGCUUUGCUUCAUAUGAGAUUAUUGACAUUCGAAUCUGUGUCUCCUUUCCCGUGAUUCUUGACCUUUGUUCCUCCAAAAAUGAUUCUUAACAAUUCUGACAUCAGGAAUUCAAUAGUAAAUUUUUUAACUUUUUUACAACUGUUUCAUUUUUAGUGGUUGAAGUUUGCAAAGGGUGGGCAGAAAGGUGAAAAUUUGAGGACAGUUGUUUGCACUGAGGCAUCAUUGUCACUGAAAAUGAUUAUAGUAAAUUAGUCAGCAAAUGAAAAGACUGUAACACAGGGAUCGUGUUCCUUUACUCUCAAGCACAACACUUCGGGGAAAUUAAAUGAACAUGCAAGUUUGGAGAGGGAUCUCUACGUAAAAGAAUAGGUAGUUGAGUGUUAUCUCAUUAAUUUAGCAUGGCAAGUUGCCUUGUCCAAUUCUAUGCAUUUAUAGUUUGAUUGCAACUGCAUUGGGCUUCUAAUACUUGAUUGGAUCUUUUACUUGCAUUUGGGCUGUGGACAGUCCAAUACCAAUGAUAUCUAUCUAAUGUUCAGAACACUGAGAAUAUCAGGUGAAAGGAAGCAAAAGUAAUAUGGGAAGUUGCUUAAUUUCUGAUUCAGUCAUUAAAAAAAGUAGAAAGUUGCUUCAUUCAAUUUCUUUUUCUGUCAAAAGUAUAAAGAUUGUCACCUUGCAAUUGAUACCCUUUUAUAUCAGAAUGAAAGGAAGUAAAUCUUGCAAAGUGGGAAAUGUAAUCCAUGUGCUCUACCUCUCCUUUCAACUAAAUAUUACGAGGCUUCAUUAACUUACCAGCUCUUUGUUUGAUCUCAGCUCCCUAACCUUAAACCUAUAGUAAAUGGUGAAUAAAUGUUGUUGGAAUCUGCAGUUAUUUAGUUUUAGUGACGUUUUAGCGGAAUCAGUAAAACCUCACUAUUACUUUUACUUUUUAAUUUAAAACACAACGUUAUCAAUUGUUUAUAGUAGCUACUGUAUUUACAUACUUUUCAUGGGAUGCAGCAAUUUCUCUCGAAAGUCAUUGUUGUACUGCAUUUUUUCCUGUUAUAGUUUGCCAAGGUUGUGCUCCUGUAUUUCAAAGUGGCCUGACAUGAUAUGGUGUCUUCAAGAGUAGUGGAAUCAGCUAUCCAUUAACAUUGAGUGGUCUUUUUUGGGGGGUCGAUAAGGUCGUCAAUAAUUCAUUUAGGUGAAGAAAAGUUGAUUUUUCCCUACACUUGUUUCACGCUACGACUUUUUUGUACAUUUGCCCUGACAAUCUUCAUGACUAGUUUGUUUUAUGGACAAACAUAAAGGUACCAUCCCAAUUUAUUUGCCUAGGAAAUAACACAUUUCAACGAAAUCAUGAGUAACCAACCACCAAUUUUUGUUGCAGGGGACUUAUAUGGAUUGAAUAUUCUGCCACCAAAGAGACCAAGGUCAAUUCAUCUGUUUAACUUUGACUCUGCUGCUGGCUUAUCCAAUGGAUUCCAGAGUAGCAUAUAUCAUUUCCACCUCAUUUGUGAAAUUAUAGCUAGGCAUGUGGAAGGUGAAAAGUCUUGGAUUCAGGACACAAGUCUUUUACUUUAGUUGAUCAAAAUGUGCCCGAUGCUCCUAACAAAUGGCACGUCCCCUACCAGCUAAUAUUUACUGCUUAGUAAUUUAAGGAUUAUGUCAUGGAUGAUGAUUGAUCUCAUAGUCAACAACUCUCCAACUUAGUUGCAGGUACUGCACGUCGUUAAGCAGAAACACUUAUCUUCUUUUAUCCUAAGCUGUCUAGCUAAUUAUGCUGCGUGUUUUGAACAAAGACAGGGAUAUCUUAAAUGGUAAGACUUGACUAUUAUGCUUAGUGCUUAGAUACAUCAAUGUGAACUUUUCAGAUGUAGUAAUAUCUCAUGAGAACAACUACUAACAAGUAUUAUGACUCAUAUCUAGUUAUCAAUUCAUCAUCAUUUUUUCCUGUCCAAUUUGCAACUUUAAAAUUCUAGAUGUUAGACCUCUAUAAAACCCACUAAAUCAUUAAAGACUCUGGUUUGUAUACAAGUUUAGUAUCUUUUCUCUUUUUA